ensembl:lncRNA
UGUUGGUCUGAACCGGUACCGGAACCAUGCAGUUCCCUUAAACAGGGGACUUUACAUCUAAGAGGUUUUUAAGGUUAAAAUGUUGAAGGGUAAAUGCAAGAGAAAUACCUGCAAUGGGUCUCGGAAAAAGAACCAGAAUAAGGAAAUACUUGCUCCUGUUGAUGACAAAAACAUAAAGAAAAUGGCAGAGAUGGCCACAUGCGUGCGCUCUGGAGACUGUGAGGCAGGACUGUGCUGCGUCCGCUAUUUAACAGUGAAACAACGCAUCCCAAAGGAGGGAGAGGCCUGCGUACUGCGAGGAGGACGCUCUAAACUGCAUAGAAAUCUUGAGUACUGUGACUGUGCACACGGGCUAAUCUGUUGUGCCCAGGCUGAACACCCCAAGAACCAAGGAGUUUGAGGGGUUUCCCUUUUGAGGACACAAGCUCAAGUAAACAGUACAAAUAUGAUAAAGAUGAUAUGACAUAUUUUCUAUUUAACAAAAAGGCUUGAAAGGAUUUAUAUGCUUUCUACAUAUAGUAUAAUCAAAUUAUAAAACCACAAACUAUAAGAUUUCACCUUCUUUAUAACUGUAAAUUACAUAUUUGUAUGUUUAGUGUUAAAGAAAAUGUGCAUAUUUUCUAAAGGUCUCGCUUGAUCAAAAUAUCUUCCCCCACCACUUUAAACAUCACAAAAAGCUGUGGCUUGGUUUCCUGAACUCGAUAGGAACUCACCUUUCAUCUCGUAUUCAUAAUGAAGUUUUUUUUGUAAAAUUCUGAAAUCCACAGCACUCUCCCCUCUAAAAGUAACAUGUGAAUCUAAG